rnacentral:rRNA from 1 species
UUAGUUUGAGAUGAGUAUGAUUUAGUUAUUGAUUAGGUUUGG